rnacentral:rRNA from 1 species
AUUGAACGCUGGCGGCAGGCCUAACACAUGCAAGUCGAACGAGUGGCGGAGGGGUGAGUAAUGUCUGGGCAACUGCCCGAUGGAAGGGGAUAACUAGUGGAAACGGUAGCUAAUACCGCAUACCGUCGGUUGUGCCCUGAUGGGAUUAGCUAGUAGGGGGGGUAAUGGCACACCUAGGCGACGCUCCCGAGCAGGUCUGAGAGGAUGACCGGCCACACUGGAACUGAGACACGGCCCAGACUCCUACGGGAGGCAGCAGUGGGGAAUAUUGGACAAUGGGCGCAAGCCUGAUGCAGCCAUGCCGCGUGUAUGAAGAAGGCUUUCGGGUUGUAAAGUACUGUCAGCGGGGAGGCGUUAUCCGCAGAAGAAGCACCGGCUAACUCCGUGCCAGCAGCCGCGGUAAUUC